GGACAGACGUGCCCUUGUCCAACUGAAACGAACACACGUGUCCUGUUAAACUUGAAAAAAGACGAAAUUAUUUUUAAAAAGAUCAUGGUAACUCGUGAAGCAACAUCUCAGAAUUGAAUCGGCGAGUUGUGUAUUUGCUGGCAAUCCGAGCCUGCUUGGAUCAUUUUGGAAGAUACAUACGCCUGCGCUUUUCAAAGCGGACAGACAUGCCCGUGUCCAACUUGACAAAGGCGGAAUUAUUUUAGGAAAGGUAUAUUAUUUGUAAAAAAAAAUAUACAAUUUUUAAGUAACAUAUUUGACAGACCAUGGCUACUAGUAAAGCAGAAUCCGAGAAUUCAAUCGGCGGCUGUAUGUUGACUGACAAGAAUAUAAUUGCUGUUAAUCCGGCCCUGCUUCUUGUACAAAUGCAUAGUGGGGAGACAUGAACAUUUUUCGAAAUUGCGGCCCUAUCCUCUUGGGAUUCUACUUUGGACAAAUUCUGAAAACGACCCAGAAAUAUAAUUGGUGAGAAAAUAGUUUUUUUGUUGUGUUAACAGUUAACAAUUUUUUAUUUUGGAAAUAAGGGGUUUCAGUGUGUACUGGUAUUAGUGAAUCAAUUUAAUGACCUCAGCAUCUCUAAACCCCCAUCUUGAGACGCGUUAACGAUCCGGAUCGAGUUACGUCGCGUAAUUGUGUCACUUUUUUUAAUUAAAAAAUGAAAGAGAUGUACCUACCAUACUUUAGAAACCCCUACUCCCCUUUGGAGGUGAUGAAAUAAGUUUUGGCAUAAAAUAUAAGUUCCUCGUAUUACUUUGAUAUGAUAAGUAUAAGUCUUGCCUGUUUUUUUUUUUUUUAAAGGAGGUUCAAACCCGUGCGAGGUGAGGUUUGAUAUAUGAAACAGACCAGUCAUGGGGACACGAGAUAUGGAAAGUUUCAGCGUAGUCGUCGCCACAUUGCUGCCAACACUGCAUAUAUAAGGAAUCACGAACCAUUCAGGAAUAUUGAGACUUAGACCAGUAUCUUUUUAAGUAGGCAUGUGGGGUAAAGAAGACGCAGAAGCUUCAGUCGGGUACCAUCGGUAACGUAGGCGAUUGAUAU